rnacentral:rRNA from 1 species
GACGUAGGGCGCGAGCGUUGUCCGGAUUUAUUGGGCGUAAAGAGCUCGUAGGCGGCGCGGCAAGUCCAUGGUGAAAGCUCGUGGCUCAACUGCGAGUCGGCCAAGGAUACUGCUGCGCUCGAGCACUGUAGAGGCAGGUGGAAUUCCGGGUGUAGCGGUGGAAUGCGCAGAUAUCAGGAAGAACACCCGUGGCUAAGGCGGCUCUCUAGUACGGUACUGACGCUGAGGCGCGAAAGCGUGGGGAGCGAACAGG